UACGGAGGGUGCAAGCGUUAUCCGGAUUUACUGGGUUUAAAGGGUGUGUAGGCGGGCUUUUAAGUCAGCGGUGAAAUCUCCGGGCUCAACCUGGAAACUGCCAUUGAUACUAUUAGUCUUGAAUUUUGUUGAGGUAGGCGGAAUAAGUCAUGUAGCGGUGAAAUGCAUAGAUAUGACUUAGAACACCGAUUGCGAAGGCAGCUUACUAAGCAAAUAUUGACGCUGAGGCACGAAAGCGUGGGGAUCAAACAGG
rnacentral:rRNA from 1 species